rnacentral:rRNA from 1 species
GACGAACGCUGGCGGCGUGCUUAACACAUGCAAGUCGAACGGUGAAGGGACCGGUUUUUGCUGGUUCUGGAUGAGUGGCGAACGGGUGAGUAACACGUGAGUAACCUGCCCCCUUCUUCUGGAUAACCGCAUGAAAGUGUGGCUAAUACGGGAUAUUCUGCGCCUGCUGCAUGGUGGGUGUGGGAAUGAUAUUUUUUCGGUGGGGGAUGGGCUCGCGGCCUAUCAGCUUGUUGGUGGGGUGAUGGCCUACCAAGGCGGUGACGGGUAGCCGGCCUGAGAGGGUGGACGGUCAGACAGGGACUGAGACAAGGCCAGGACUCCUACGGGAGGCAGCAGUGGGGAAUAUUGCACAAUGGGCGAAAGCGUGAUGCAGGGACGCCGCGGGAGGGAUGGAGGCCUUCGGGUUGUAAACCUCUUUCGCCAGUGAAGCAGGCCUGUCCCUUUUGUGGGUGGGUUGACGGUAGCUGGAUAAGAAGCGCCGGCUAACUACGUG